rnacentral:rRNA from 1 species
AGUUGUAGUCUCGGCGUCUAGGAUGAACGCUGGCGGCGUGCUUAACACAUGCAAGUCGAACGAAGCUCCUUGAACUGAAGAUUCGUCUGAUGGGAUAGGAAGACUUAGUGGCGGACGGGUGAGUAACGCGUGGGUAACCUGCCGUAUACAGGGGGAUAACAGUUAGAAAUGACUGCUAAUACCGCAUAAGCGCACAGUGAGGCAUCUCACAGUGUGAAAAACUCCGGUGGUAUACGAUGGACCCGCGUCUGAUUAGCCAGUUGGCAGGGUAACGGCCUACCAAAGCGACGAUCAGUAGCCGGCCUGAGAGGGUGAACGGCCACAUUGGGACUGAGACACGGCCCAAACUCCUACGGGAGGCAGCAGUGGGGAAUAUUGCACAAUGGGGGAAACCCUGAUGCAAGCGACGCCGCGUGAGUGAAGAAGCAUUUCGGUGCGUAAAGCUCUAUCAGCAGGGAAGAAAAUGACGGUACCUGACUAAGAAGCCCCGGCUAACUACGUGCCAGCCGCAGC